CAUGCAAGUCGAGCGGAGAUGAGGUGCUUGCACCUUAUCUUAGCGGCGGACGGGUGAGUAAUGCUUAGGAAUCUGCCUAUUAGUGGGGGACAACAUUCCGAAAGGAAUGCUAAUACCGCAUACGUCCUACGGGAGAAAGCAGGGGAUCUUCGGACCUUGCGCUAAUGGAUGAGCCUAAGUCGGAUUAGCUAGUUGGUGGGGUAAAGGCCUACCAAGGCGACGAUCUGUAGCGGGUCUGAGAGGAUGAUCCGCCACACUGGGACUGAGACACGGCCCAGACUCCUACGGGAGGCAGCAGUGGGGAAUAUUGGACAAUGGGGGGAACCCUGAUCCAGCCAUGCCGCGUGUGUGAAGAAGGCCUUAUGGUUGUAAAGCACUUUAAGCGAGGAGGAGGCUACUGAGACUAAUACUCUUGGAUAGUGGACGUUACUCGCAGAAUAAGCACCGGCUAACUCUGUGCCAGCAGCCGCGGUAAUACAGAGGGUGCGAGCGUUAAUCGGAUUUACUGGGCGUAAAGCGUGCGUAGGCGGCUUUUUAAGUCGGAUGUGAAAUCCCCGAGUUUAACUUGGGAAUUGCAUUCGAUACUGGGAAGCUAGAGUAUGGGAGAGGAUGGUAGAAUUCCAGGUGUAGCGGUGAAAUGCGUAGAGAUCUGGAGGAAUACCGAUGGCGAAAGCAGCCAUCUGGGCUAAUACUGACGCUGAAGUACGAAAGCAUGGGGAGCAAACAGGAUUAGAUACCCUGGUAGUCCAUGCCGUAAACGAUGUCUACUAG
rnacentral:rRNA from 1 species